rnacentral:rRNA from 1 species
UACGUAGGGUCCAAGCGUUAUCCGGAAUCACUGGGCGUAAAGCGUGCGUAGGUGGCGCGUUGAGUGUGAUGUUGAAUCGUGGGGCUCAACCCUGUCGGUGCAUCACAUACUGGCGUGCUAGAGGACAGCAGAGGCAAGUGGAAUUAGCAGUGUAGCAGUGAAAUGCGUAGAUAUUGCUAGGAACACCAAUGGCGAAGGCAGCUUGCUGGGCUACUCCUGACACUGAUGUACGAAAGCGUGGGGAGCGAACAGG